UACGGGGGGGGCAAGCGUUGUUCGGAAUUACUGGGCGUAAAGGGCUCGUAGGUGGCCAACUAAGUCAGACGUGAAAUCCCUCAGCUUAACUGGGGAACUGCGUCUGAUACUGGAUGGCUUGAGUUUGGGAGAGGGAUGCGGAAUUCCAGGUGUAGCGGUGAAAUGCGUAGAGAUGUGGAGGAACACCAGUGGCGAAGGCGGCUCUUUGGUCUGUAACUGACGCUGAGGCGCGAAAGCGUGGGGAGCGAACAGG
rnacentral:rRNA from 1 species